rnacentral:rRNA from 1 species
AUUGAACGCUGGCGGCAGGUCUAACACAUGCAAGUCGAGCGGAGCGGCGGACGGGUGAGUAAUGCCUAGGAAUCUGCCUGGUUGUGGGGGAUAACGUCCGGAAACGGGCGCUAAUACCGCAUACUAUCAGAUGAGUCUAGGUCGGAUUAGCUAGUUGGUGGGGUAAAGGCCUACCAAGGCGACGAUCCGUAACUUGGCUGAGAGGAUGAUCAGGAACCAGGGAACGGUGACGCGGUCCAGACUCCUACGGGAGGCAGCAGGGAGGAAUAUUGUACAAUGGGCGACAGCCUGAUCCAGCCAAGCCGCGUGUGUGAAGAAGGUCUUCGGAUUGUAAAGCACUUUAAGUUGAGAGGCGUUACCAACAGAAUAAGCACCGGCUAACUUCGUGCCAGCAGCCGCGGUAAUAC